rnacentral:rRNA from 2 species
UCGCUGACGAGUGGCGGACGGGUGAGUAAUGCUUGGGAACUUGCCUUUGCGAGGGGGAUAACAGUUGGAAACGACUGCUAAUACCGCAUAAUGUCUACGGACCAAACGGGGCUUAGGCUCCGGCGCAAAGAGAGGCCCAAGUGAGAUUAGCUAGUUGGUAAGGUAAAGGCUUACCAAGGCAACGAUCUCUAGCUGUUCUGAGAGGAAGAUCAGCCACACUGGAACUGAGACACGGUCCAGACUCCUACGGGAGGCAGCAGUGGGGAAUAUUGCACAAUGGGGGAAACCCUGAUGCAGCCAUGCCGCGUGUGUGAAGAAGGCCUUCGGGUUGUAAAGCACUUUCAGUUGUGAGGAAAAGUUAGUAGUUAAUACCUGCUAGCCGUGACGUUAACAACAGAAGAAGCACCGGCUAACUCCGUGCCAGCAGCCGCGGUAAUACGGAGGGUGCGAGCGUUAAUCGGAAUUACUGGGCGUAAAGCGCACGCAGGCGGUUUGUUAAGCUAGAUGUGAAAGCCCCGGGCUCAACCUGGGAUGGUCAUUUAGAACUGGCAGACUAGAGUCUUGGAGAGGGGAGUGGAAUUCCAGGUGUAGCGGUGAAAUGCGUAGAUAUCUGGAGGAACAUCAGUGGCGAAGGCGACUCCCUGGCCAAAGACUGACGCUCAUGUGCGAAAGUGUGGGUAGCGAACAGGAUUAGAUACCCUGGUAGUCCACACCGUAAACGCUGUCUACUAGCUGUUUGUGACUUUAAGUCGUGAGUAGCGAAGCUAACGCG